rnacentral:lncRNA from 1 species
UACUAUCUGGGAUCAUUUUACUGACCGUACUCUUGACCUUUCUCUUCUUUGAGCAUUCCGAAGAACUAUUCAUCCAGUUAUUUCAGCCGAUCCUCCUGUCUCAUCACCAAGAGAAGAAAUAAAAGAGGCUUCUGAGGUCAGGCCUCUUUUUUUUGUAAUGUACUCAUUUCUAUUUCAACUUUCUUUUCAAUAUUCCAAAUACUUAUUUUCUUUUUUCUGCAGUCAACUCCAGUUUCUUCAUCGGUCCCAGCUUCAGAAAAAAGUCCGAUUGAGACCGCUCAAUUUACUCCUCCGCCGCCCUCA